CGGCAGCAGUUGCGCGCCGCUCGGCACUCCGCGCGCAUCACUCCGCUAUGGUGCCACAAUGACCUCGCUGCCCGGCAUGACCCACGACCCGUCGGCACCGCCGCCCCUGUUUCUGGACAGCCCGUACGUGUCGCCCGACUAUGGCAACCUGUCGCUGCUGCCGUCGCUGCAGGCCGGCGACGUCAGCUCGGGCAAGCUGUACCAGGUGCCCGUCGGCUUCAUCGUGCUCCUCUCCAUCUUCUACGGACUCAUCUCGCUGGUGGCCGUCGCCGGCAAUUUCAUGGUCAUGUGGAUCGUGGCCACGUCGCGGCGCAUGCAGACCGUCACCAACUUCUUCAUCGCCAACCUGGCCGUGGCCGACAUCAUCAUCGGACUGUUCUCCAUCCCUUUCCAGUUCCAGGCCGCUCUGCUGCAGCGCUGGGUGCUGCCAGAGUUCAUGUGCGCCUUCUGCCCGUUCGUCCAGGUGCUCUCGGUCAACGUGUCCAUAUUCACGCUGACCGCCAUCGCGCUGGACCGAUACCGUGCAGUCAUGUCGCCACUCAAGGCGCGCACCACUAAGCUGCGCGCCAAGUUCAUCAUCUGCGGCAUCUGGACGCUCGCGGUGGCGGCCGCGCUGCCGUGCGCGCUCGCGCUGCGCGUCGAGACGCAGGUCGAGUCGCACGCGCUCAACCUGACCAAGCCGUUCUGCCACGAGGUGGGCAUCUCGCGCAAGGCCUGGCGCAUCUACAACCACGUGCUCGUGUGCCUGCAGUACUUUUUCCCGCUGCUCACCAUCUGCUUCGUGUACGCACGCAUGGGCCUCAAGCUCAAGGAAAGCAAGUCUCCCGGCAACGCCCAGGGAGCCCGCGACGCCGGCAUCCUCAAGAACAAGAAGAAGGUGAUCAAGAUGCUGUUUGUCAUCGUGGCGCUGUUCGCCUUCUGUUGGCUUCCUUACCAGCUCUACAAUGUUCUCCGCGAAGUGUUCCCCAAGAUUGACAAGUACAAGUACAUAAACAUCAUAUGGUUCUGUACGCACUGGCUGGCCAUGAGUAACUCCUGCUACAAUCCUUUCAUUUAUGCCAUCUACAAUAUCAUUCCCCGCAAACCUAGCAGAGUGAGAAGUGAGGGCGAGCUUUGAGCCUGCAGGCGCGGCUACUUUCUGUACACGGGAUGGCUAUAGUCGGGCAAACCAUACAGGAGCGCUUCAAGCGCGAGUUCGCGACUCGCUGCACCUGCGGUGGCCAUCGCUACAAGCCGCCCAAGAGCCGCUUCGCCUCGUACGAG
rnacentral:misc_RNA from 1 species